CCUACGGGAGGCUACAGUGGGGAAUAUUGCACAAUGGGGGAAACCCUGAUGCAGCGACGCCGCGGGAGUGAAGAAGUAUUUCGGUAUGUAAAGCUCUAUCAGCAGGGAAGAAGCACGACGGUACCUGACUAAGAAGCACCGGCUAACUACGUGCCAGCAGCAGCGGGAAUACGGAGGUGGCAAGCGUUAUCCGGCUUUACUGGGUGUAAAGGUAGCGUAGACGGCAGUGCAAGUCUGAUGUGAAAGCCCAGGGCGCAACCCUGGGACUGCUUUUGAAACUGGGGAGCUAGAGUGCGGGAGAGGUAAGUGGAAUUUCUAGUGUAGCGGGGAAAUGCGUAGAUAUUAGGAGGAACACCAGUGGCGAAGGCGGCUUACUGGACAGGAACUGACGUUGAGGCUCGAAAGCGUGGGGAGCAAACAGGAUUAGAUACCCUGGUAGUC
rnacentral:rRNA from 1 species